AAACCGUUCAGGGGUAAACCUGAGGAACCUGAAAGAUCGAAUGGGGAGAUUCAUCGUCAGCGACGCUGGCUUCUCGGUGGUGCGCGAUGCCCCGAACCUUUGCGUUUCGAGGUACGCCAUCGCCGGUGUCACGUCCGGUGUCGUCGUCGUGCACUUCUCCCCUAGUAGAACGUCGCGACCCGUUGGGUGCCGGUCUAAAACACGGAAAGGUAGACUGUCGCGUCGCGGUAAAACGCGUACGCGGUCAGACCUCCGAACGUUCGGCCGGCUGCCCGGCGGUACUCGCACGGUAUUUGGCCGCAUUCGAAUGUGCGUCGGGCCCGCCGCAAGCGCGGUUCAGCGUAUCCCCGGAGGUUACGGACCUAGUGCCGUCCCCGGGCCUGACCAGCUGUUGCCAGGCGGUGUCCUCUGACGGGCCAGAACACAAAAUAAAAUACCGGUCAGCGGCGCUACUGCUUUGGGUACCCUCAGGACCCGUCUUGAAACACGGACCAAGGAGUCUAACAUGUGCGCGAGUCAUUGGGACAGCGAAGCCUAAAGGCGCAAUGAAAGUGAAGGUCGACCUCGCGUCGAUCGAGGGAGGAUGGGCCGCGUCACGGCGCGGCCUCGCACUCCCGGGGCGUCUCGUUCUCAUUGCGAGAAGAGGCGCACCCAGAGCGUACACGUUGGGACCCGAAAGAUGGUGAACUAUGCCUGGUCAGGACGAAGUCAGGGGAAACCCUGAUGGAGGUCCGUAGCGAUUCUGACGUGCAAAUCGAUCGUCGGAACUGGGUAUAGGGGCGAAAGACUAAUCGA
rnacentral:rRNA from 1 species